GACGAACGCUGGCGGCGUGCUUAAUACAUGCAAGUCGAACGGGUCUGCCCUGUUUUUUGCGGGGUGGGUCAGUGGCGAACGGGUGAGUAACACGUGAGUAACCUGCCCCUCACUUCUGGAUAACCGCUUGAAAGGGUGGCUAAUACGGGGUGUUCUGGCUGUGCCGCAUGGUGUGGCUGGGAAAGAUUCACUUUUGUGGUGUUUUGGUGGGGGAUGGGCUCGCGGCCUAUCAGCUUGUUGGUGGGGUGAUGGCCUGCCAAGGCUUUGACGGGUAGCCGGCCUGAGAGGGUGGGCGGUCACACUGGGACUGAGAUACGGCCCAGACUCCUGCGGGAGGCAGCAGUGGGGGGUAUUGCACAAUGGGCGGAAGCCUGAUGCAGCGACGUCGCGUGAGGGAUGGAGGCCUUCGGGUUGUGAACCUCUUUCGCCGGUGAAGAAGGUCCUGCUCUUUGUGGUGGGGUUGACGGUAGCCGGGUUAUGAAGCGCCGGCUAACUACGUG
rnacentral:rRNA from 1 species